rnacentral:misc_RNA from 1 species
GUGAAGAACGUAGCGAAAUGCGAUAAGUAAUGUGAAUUGCAGAAUUCAGUGAAUCAUCGAAUCUUUGAACGCACAUUGCGCCCUUUGGUAUUCCGAAGGGCAUGCCUGUCCGAGCGUCAUUAUAACCCCUCAAGCUCAGCUUGGUGUUGGGGCCUGCCGCACGGGCAGCCCUUAAAAUCAGUGGCGGUGCCAUCUGGCUCUAAGCGUAGUAAUUCUUCUCGCUAUAGAGUCACGGUGGAUGCUUGCCAUUAACCCCCAAUUUUCAAUGGUUGACCUCGGAUCAGGUAGGGAUACCCGCUGAACUUAAGCAUAUCAAUAAGCGGAGGA